GCCUGGCUGGCUCAGUCGGUGGAGCGUGUGACUUCUGAUCUCAGGAUUGUGAGUUCAAGCCCCACGUUGGGUG
rfam:Felis catus isolate Cinnamon breed Abyssinian chromosome X, whole genome shotgun sequence.